CUUGGCUGCAGCACUCAAAGGAGAGUGAAACACAGGCCAGCUGCUUCCUGAGACCCUGGAGUUAUCUCUGUUUGGAAGACACUUAAGCCACCCACCCAGCGAGAUUCAGACCACAAGUUCUGUCUCAUCUUCUAUGGAUUCCCACAUCAGUCAGUUCAGUUUUGGAAGACUUUGCUCUGCUGUUUGGAUGCAUGAGAAGAAGCACCCCCUUUUCUCCUGUUCUUCUUUGCUGGAUCAAGUCAUAUCUUCACAUAUUGUCUGGAAUUGCUACAGCUAUUUUGAAACCCAAAGUGAAAGCAUCAUCAACCUGCUGAGGAUAGCAAGGCAGAAAGACAAACUCAUCGGUGGACCUGGAUCUGUGACGACUUCAUCAAGGCUCUGAGCCAAUCGUGGACCACCUGGCCUCCAGACAUCAUCUUAUGUGAAAUGAUGGCUGUCCUUAUUGUGUAAGCUAUUUGGUUUGAGUAUGUUCUGCCUAGCAGCUAGAAGCGUCCAACUGAUGCCAAUGCUUCUGGUAAAAGUUGCGAUUAAAGCAGAUAAUGGUGUUAGCUGACAUGCUGAUAAAAUCGGAAUCAGUACAUAGCCAAGUCACGGAUCUGGUGGAAAGUAUUCAAAUAGAUCAAUGCAUGCUUGGUGAUGCUGGUGCCUGUCAUCAUAAACAUCCAUCCAGGCCAUCAUGAUCACCUCCGAAUGGUACAGGACUAAAGUCCAACUCAGGAUCUACACACCCUGCUUAUAAUAAUGCCCUAACUUCCUUUGAAGAUGAAACACAUUUCUCUGUGUUCUUUGAACUAUUGUACAGAAAAACUUCCCCAGGAAACUCUUUGAACUCAUAUUUGUUUGUUUCUCAUU